CGUUUCUAAAAUAUUAGAAAAAGAUAAUGUUUUCCCUUUUCUAUUACGUUGAAAUUUAUAUAAUAUUCAUAGAACUUAGAAGUACACAACUGUCACAAGUGAAAUUACGGUUAACUAAAGCUGAAUAUUAGAAUUUUAACGAAGACUGACUUGGUCUAUUAUCUAUCACGCCAAUCCUGCUCAAAAUUAUGAUCGGACUGGAGAAGAUCAUAUAGAGACAACUCCUCAGACAUUGCCUGAGAAUGAUCCAAAAAUCUUGGAUGAUGGGAAUGCAGAUAAUUAAGUAGAAAAAAAAUAUUACCAGCCAAAGAGGAUGACAAGACUGUAAUAGAUAGUGUAGAAAUUGUCCCCUCAGCUAUUGAAAUCUUAGAUGAGGAUACCAUUCAGAGAAGUUGCCAGAACAACAGUGGAAAUGAUCACCAACAUACUGACCAAUCAGGGACUUCUGUUUUUAAGGAAAGAGAGGAUAACCAAAAGGCCUUGAACUAAUAGCAAAUGGGAUUCUGAAAAGAGGACCAAGAUUGCAGAUGUGAAGAAAUGCCCCUUUGCUAAACUCCAUGCAUCUGAGAAACUAAAAGCAUUCUGUCCUGGCUAGUUGAUUAUUGUCUGGGAGUAGCACAAGAAGGAAGAAAAGAACUUACAGGGCCAAGCAGAGGCCAUGAUACAAAAGAUCCUUGAUGAAAAUGUGCACUUAUUUAUGAUAAAACAAUACUUGAUGAUUGCUACAUGGACGAAGGUGAAAAAGACCAUACUCAUCAAGCAAGACUUACACUCUUACACACAUGUGAAAUAUGCUACCAAGAUAUCUGCUCAAGGCUGUUCAUCUUUUCUGAUGUAUGUCUGGCAUGCUACCAUAUGGACUGUGUGACAGUAAAAAAAACCUCCCAAGAAAAGUGUUUCAUAAGAGUUGAUUGAAUUUGAUAGGAGACAUUAGAUUUUUGUUGACUGAUAAAGCCUUGGAAAGAGGUAUAGAAAGAUGUGUUUUGGCUGUAUUAUCUAUACUUUGCAAUUGAUGAAAAAUAUAUUCUGAAAGGUUCUUAAAUUUUGACUUAGUUUUGAAUGACAAUAACAAAUAAUCUGAGAGAGGCAUGUGUGUAUUAAAUUGUAAUUGUUGUCAGAAGGUUCUUUGUUUGACCUAGUAGUUAUACAUUUUUAGUACUAAAAUAAUUGGUUGCUUAGUCGUAAACUAACAUUACGUAUGAGUGUACAUGUUAAUCAAGUCUUGUGACAAAAUUUUUGCUUCAUAUUUCCCUGAUUAAGAAAACACUUGGUUGUCUUGAGUGACUAUAGCUGAUUUGUGAGAUUGCUCUGUUUUAAGGUGGCAGUAUGUAUACGUUUGAAUCAGUGUCCAAAACUUUCAUAAUUUAUUUGGAUUUGUUUAAUCCAAUAAAAAAAUUAAACAGUUUCUUAGGAUUUUAAGCAUUUUCCCUAAUUUAAAAAACUUGUCACCAAACAUGCAUUUUCUGUACACUUUUUCUAAAACUGUAGUUGUGUUUUCAUCUCAUGAAAGUAUCAUCUUUACUUCAACCUCUAGCUUUCUGGGAUUCCUGGCCUAUAUUUAAAUAUUACGGGAAGUCCCUUUGUUGUCUGAAAUGAAAAGGAUGUUUCUGGCACAUGUGAAUGGUGGAUUGAUCCAAACGAACGAAGUGUGAUGAAUAUUAACACCUUGGUGAAGAAUUAACUUAUCUUUUGGUUAGUAUUAAAACAGUAAUCUCAAGUCACAGUAUUUGUUUUUUUGUAUGAUUUUCUGGAUUAAUAUAAUAUUUAUCCACAUUCCAAGAGUGGUAUAAUUAAAAACUAUUAUUUGUAAUUAGAUGUUUGUUUAAUGUUAUAUGCAAAUACACAUUUACAAUUGUGUCUUUCUUUAAAAAAUUCACAUCUGCAAUUGAUAAAAUGGAAUUAAAGUAUAUUUACAUGCUCUCGGAGUGGACAAGAUAAACCUGAUAAAGACAGACCAGUUAGAAAUUUGUGGAUGGACCCUGAUAUGAAUGUGUUAAGAUAUUUGUAUGUCCACAGCUGUAAAUUGUUAGAUUUCAUAAAGCUAUUUUAAAUCUAGUAAAUUCUGUUAUUUGUUACUGAUAUCUAAUACAUAGUAUGCAUGUAUUACUAAAUUAAGCUAGUAACAUCAUCACGAGACAGGAUGUUGUCUCCCUUACUAGAUGACUUUCUAGUAAGUUACUUUACUUGACUGGAGAUUAGAAAAAAAAAAUUAAAUCUUUUUGCAUACAAAAAUUAAUCUUGGGCUGAAAUGAAAAAUUCUUUGUAAUUUUAAUUGGACUUUUUUUCAGUUUUUAGAAUAGUGGAAAUCAUUACUUCUCUUAUAAACUAGAAUAUUUUAUAUACCUAGAACCACCUCCAAAAUUUGGUACUAAUGAAUAUUUCCAUUCAUUCUGUCUGUAUACCAUUUCUCAAGAUUAAAAUUUCCUUCCAUUGUGCGGUUCACCCCAAACUAAUAUAUUUGCUUAAAUGAUUAUGUUUAUUCUAUGCAUUUUCUACCUUCUUAUUUUAAUAUAGUAUUAUUGUAAACUUAUCAGUUAUUUCUGAGUAUGUGCAAUUUUCACAUAAUGUGGUCAAGAAUGUCACUGAUUUUAUUAUAGCUGCCUUUUGUUCAUUGUUCUUGUAUGGAGGUCACACCUAUUCUGACCAUGAGGUGGUGUGGUUGUAAAGGUUCUGCAUCUUGUGCAUGAUUGUAAACAGUCCUUCAAUGCUAGGUCAGUUGGUGUCUUGAGUUUAUGGAAACUCCUCUUUGUUUAAAUGAAAAUGAAGAAUUAUAUGGGUAGCACUGGUUGUUCUGGGUAAAUCUGUUGUUACCUAUUGAGAAUUUGAAAUAAUCCAAGGCCGUGUUAAAUAAUUUAACUUUUAAUAGUUAAACUGUAC
rnacentral:lncRNA from 1 species